rnacentral:rRNA from 1 species
UACGUAGGGGGCAAGCGUUGUCCGGAAUUACUGGGCGUAAAGCGCACGCAGGCGGUUCGUUAAGUCGGAUGUGAAAGAUCGGGGCUCAACCCCGGUUUGCGUUCGAUACUGGCGGACUGGAGUGUCGGAGAGGGAAGUGGAAUUCCCGGUGUAGCGGUGAAACGCGUAGAUAUCGGGAGGAACACCAGUGGCGAAGGCGGCUUCCUGGCCGACAACUGACGCUCAUGUGCGAAAGCUGGGGGAGCAAACGGG